UUCCUCUGUGAGGUCAGCGGAGGGGGCGCAAGGUGGCUCAGGACGGCUCAGCGAGCCAAGGACAUGCACAGCGCCUUGCCCAGGCUCGCUUGUCCAGGAAGAGACAGGGGCAAGAACUCCAACUGGGGUCUGCCGCUCCCCAUUCCACUGUCCCAACAAAAGAACAAGGCUGCGAGGAGAGGCUGCCCAGAGCUCACAGGCCGGCGGAACCCGGCGGAACGAGUGUGCAUCAGCAUGGUGCCGAUGUUAUCAGCGCCCCUGCUGUCAAACAGGUGUCAUCCAGGCCUCCACAGGUGCACGGCCUGAGUCACAGGUCAGACACACAGGGCCAGGUGGGGCCUGGUAAUGGGCAUCCACCCUUACCCGAGCCCUGGGACCCCAUUAGAUCGGGGUCACCCUCUGUAAGAGCCACAGGGCCCUGAGCAGCAGUCGGGAGAGGAAACCCUUUAUCUGGAGGAAGUCUAGUUCUCCACACUCUGCAGAGGCAGUCUGCAGGGGCCACGGCCUUCCGGGAGGGAAAUCAGGCAGUGCCCAGUCUAAGAGACAGGGAGAACACAGGGCGGGCCUCCCCUUGAGCGCUGGGCACUGACACUGGGCAUUGCCGGCUGGCCCAGCCUCGGCAUGGGGACUGCUCUAAGCCGCACUCCUCCUCAGCCUCCGCCGGCGCCUCUGCUGCGUGCCCCCCACCUCCGCCACCUGUAAGCUCCGGCACCAGCCUGCGGUAUGUGCUGUGCUCGCCCUCCACCACAUGCUCCAGCCUAGAGCGCACGCCCACUUUCCCACAGUCUCUGCCCCGUGACCUCCGCCUCCACCUGCCCCUGCCCAGCGUGGCCUCUGGCCCACACCCUGAGUGGCCUCCACGUGGCUUUGCCUGCUGGGCACCAUCCACCCCAUCAAGCUCAGAACAGAAGUGUGCCUCUGCCUUCUUUCUCAAGCACUUCUGUCCCGUCGGCUUUGCCUGGACUUCGAUCCUCACUGGGCCGGGAAGACGCAGGAGUCAGCUGUGGUGAGAGCAGACAGGGGCUCCAUACCAACCACCCAGACCCCCGGCGACCUCACAUUAGAAGACGCCACGGCUCAGAGGACGGGGAGCAGCGGCAGAGGCAGCAGCCAAGUUCUGGAUCACGGCCUACAGGCCAGGAAGUGUGCUAGGUGCUUCACACGGGACAUCUUUAGACAGGGGAGCUGGAGCAGCUCACCCAGGUUCUCACAGCAGAUACUGGGGACCCUGGGACUCAGCCCUGUGCUCCGGAAGUGGCAGGCCAGACCUCAAACCUUCAGCUCCCUGGCCCCCGUGCUUGCUCACCUCCCUUUACUGCUUUCCUACGGAAAAGUCCCAAGACCUUGACUUUUACUCUCCACAGACGACCGCUCCUGACCCAAGUCGGUGGCUUCUGGGCUGCAGGUAGCAGGGAGUGUUCCACACCUGUGCACAGGCUCCGCUCGGGGGCUGCCAGAGGCAAGCCGCCCUGGCCGGGGGUCACCGAGGAAGGAGCCCACGAAACAGCUUCCAGGGGAACGUGCUUGGGUUACCAGCCCUCCCGGACUGAGGGGACCCCCAACGUCUGCUGGCUGCCAUCUGGCCCCCAUGUGCUCUGGAUUUGGACAGAGCUGUCUAGAUGGAGCCAAGAGUCAGAGUUGCUCUUUGCCAGGACCCCUUUCUCCUCCUCCUUCAGGGUUGUAAGCCACCCUGAACACCAGCUACGCAGCAGUCGCAGCUUUUCACAGGGUUCACGUGAGGAUGGGGUGGAGGGAGGGCCAGACUUCAGACCCUAGGAAGUCAAAAGCUACGCCCACUUAGCUGGAGGCUGCAGCAACUUCCUGCUGCAAGCACCACCCUUCGUCCUUAGGAAAUAAAGAUUUUUCUUCAUUCCUACA